rnacentral:misc_RNA from 1 species
AUCGGAAGGUGCGGCUGGAUCACCUCCUUUCUAAGGAAAAAGUAGAGAUUUGUUUCACUGUUCAGGUAUUAAUCCUGAAUUAAAUAUGAUUUCCGGUGGCGAUGCGGUUAGGGGUAACACCCGUACACAUCCCGAACACGAUGGUUAAGACCUAAUCGGCCGAUAAUACUACGUUGGAGACGACGUGGGAAGGUAGGUGGCUGCCGGGUUUGCUUAAACAGCAAGGAAAUUUGCUUUCAUAUAUAAAAUCACCUCUAUAAGAGGCGAUCAUUUGAAAGCUUAACAAGAUUAAACUUUCAAAUGGUUGAAAGCGAAAGCUUUUGAUCAAAAUAGCAACUUGAAAACUUCAUACAGUAGAGAUAAUGAUUUUAAGAUAAUCUUAAAUAUCAAGACAUCCGAGAAUUAACAAACCAAAAGUUCUUAUUGAACAAACUUUUAAAAUAUCAAGCUACAUUUUGAGA